GAUGAACGCUGGCGGCGUGCCUAAUACAUGCAAGUCGAGCGAACGGACGAGAAGCUUGCUUCUCUGAUGUUAGUGGCGGACGGGUGAGUAACACGUGGAUAACCUACCUAUAAGACUGGGAUAACUUCGGGAAACCGGAGCUAAUACCGGAUAAUAUUUUGAACCGCAUGGUUCAAAAGUGAAAGACGGUCUUGCUGUCACUUAUAGAUGGAUCCGCGCUGCAUUAGCUAGUUGGUAAGGUAACGGCUUACCAAGGCAACGAUGCAUAGCCGACCUGAGAGGGUGAUCGGCCACACUGGAACUGAGACACGGUCCAGACUCCUACGGGAGGCAGCAGUAGGGAAUCUUCCGCAAUGGGCGAAAGCCUGACGGAGCAACGCCGCGUGAGUGAUGAAGGUCUUCGGAUCGUAAAACUCUGUUAUUAGGGAAGAACAUAUGUGUAAGUAACUGUGCACAUCUUGACGGUACCUAAUCAGAAAGCCACGGCUAACUACGUGCCAGCAGCCGCGGUAAUACGUAGGUGGCAAGCGUUAUCCGGAAUUAUUGGGCGUAAAGCGCGCGUAGGCGGUUUUUUAAGUCUGAUGUGAAAGCCCACGGCUCAACCGUGGAGGGUCAUUGGAAACUGGAAAACUUGAGUGCAGAAGAGGAAAGUGGAAUUCCAUGUGUAGCGGUGAAAUGCGCAGAGAUAUGGAGGAACACCAGUGGCGAAGGCGACUUUCUGGUCUGUAACUGACGCUGAUGUGCGAAAGCGUGGGGAUCAAACAGGAUUAGAUACCCUGGUAGUCCACGCCGUAAACGAUGAGUGCUAAGUGUUAGGGGGUUUCCGCCCCUUAGUGCUGCAGCUAACGCAUUAAGCACUCCGCCUGGGGAGUACGACCGCAAGGUUGAAACUCAAAGGAAUUGACGGGGACCCGCACAAGCGGUGGAGCAUGUGGUUUAAUUCGAAGCAACGCGAAGAACCUUACCAAAUCUUGACAUCCUUUGACAACUCUAGAGAUAGAGCUUUCCCCUUCGGGGGACAAAGUGACAGGUGGUGCAUGGUUGUCGUCAGCUCGUGUCGUGAGAUGUUGGGUUAAGUCCCGCAACGAGCGCAACCCUUAAGCUUAGUUGCCAUCAUUAAGUUGGGCACUCUAAGUUGACUGCCGGUGACAAACCGGAGGAAGGUGGGGAUGACGUCAAAUCAUCAUGCCCCUUAUGAUUUGGGCUACACACGUGCUACAAUGGACAAUACAAAGGGCAGCGAAACCGUGAGGUCAAGCAAAUCCCAUAAAGUUGUUCUCAGUUCGGAUUGUAGUCUGCAACUCGACUACAUGAAGCUGGAAUCGCUAGUAAUCGUAGAUCAGCAUGCUACGGUGAAUACGUUCCCGGGUCU
rnacentral:rRNA from 1 species